GAUUCACUAGCUCAGUCGGUAGAGCACUUGACUUUUAAUCAAGUUGUCCGGGGUUCGAUUCCCCGGUGGAUCA
rfam:Clostridium colicanis DSM 13634 CLCO_contig000018, whole genome shotgun sequence.